AACGCUGGCGGCGUGCCUAACACAUGCAAGUCGCACGAGAAAGGGUAGCAAUACCUGAGUAAAGUGGCGCACGGGUGAGUAACACGUGAAUUAUCUACCUCCGAGUGGGGAAUAACUGAGAGAAAUCUUAGCUAAUACCGCAUAACACUUACGAGUCAAAGCAGCAAUGCGCUUGGAGAGGAGUUCGCGGCCGAUUUGUUAGUUGGCGGGGUAAUGGCCCACCAAGACGAUGAUCGGUAUCCGGCCUGAGAGGGCGCACGGACACACUGGAACUGAAACACGGUCCAGACUCCUACGGGAGGCAGCAGUGGGGAAUUUUGCGCAAUGGGGGAAACCCUGACGCAGCAACGCCGCGUGGAGGAUGAAAUAUCUUGGUAUGUAAACUCCUUUCGAUGGGGAAGNAGUAUGACGGUACCCAUGAAGAA
rnacentral:rRNA from 1 species